rnacentral:tRNA from 1 species
CUACCGAGGAAGAAAUGUAGAACUGCUAACUCUACUCCCCAUAUUUAAAAAUAUGGCUC